UGGGGAAUAUUGCACAAUGGGCGCAAGCCUGAUGCAGCCAUGCCGCGUGUGUGAAGAAGGCCUUCGGGUUGUAAAGCACUUUCAGCGAGGAGGAAGGUGGUGAGCUUAAUACGCUCAUCAAUUGACGUUACUCGCAGAAGAAGCACCGGCUAACUCCGUGCCAGCAGCCGCGGUAAUACGGAGGGUGCAAGCGUUAAUCGGAAUUACUGGGCGUAAAGCGCACGCAGGCGGUUUGUUAAGUCAGAUGUGAAAUCCCCGGGCUCAACCUGGGAACUGCAUUUGAAACUGGCAAGCUAGAGUCUCGUAGAGGGGGGUAGAAUUCCAGGUGUAGCGGUGAAAUGCGUAGAGAUCUGGAGGAAUACCGGUGGCGAAGGCGGCCCCCCUGGACGAAGACUGACGCUCAGGUGCGAAAGCGUGGGGCAGCAAACAGGAUUAGAUACCCUGGUAGUCCACGCUGUAAACGAUGUCGAUUUGGAGGUUGUGCCCUUGAGGCGUGGAUUCCGGAGCUAACGCGUUAAAUCGACCGCC
rnacentral:rRNA from 1 species